ACUUUCUGAGAAUGAGCCAUUUUUACCUUUUCUGUCCCCAAAAACGCAUGUGAUGCUCCCAUCUUCCUCGCCACUGCUGCAGCCACGUUUUCUGGACUUGGGUUGACCUUUUUGCACUGUCCCACCCCAAUGGAAAGGGAAGAGAAGCUUUGCCACCAGCCCUGAGGUGAGGACACCCCAGCAUGGAUUUGUGAUGCACACCAGAACAUUUGUUCAAUAAGAAGGAACAAUGGCCCAGCUCCAUUUCUUGUGUAGUCUGCAACUCCCUAAGGUGUCUGACACACUGGGAACCCACGCACAACACAGUGAUGGAAAACUUGGAGACCAAAUGGAAGCGAAGAAAAGCCCUUGGUGUAAUUUUACAGCGUGUGAAAGACUUAAAGCAAGAAACACAGCCAGAUGCCACAAGGAAACUACUUUCAAUUAGUUCUGCUUUGUGUUAUACCUACUGAUGAAAAAUAAAAACAAAUUCAUUCUGUCAACAGCUCUAUCUAUAGCAUAAUCCUUAAAUGAACUCAUCCGUCAAACUGGUCUCCUCUGGCAAAACAUAUUACAAUCCCUGUUUCUCAGCUGUGAGAAUCAAUCAUCUCUUUCCCAAACCCAUUGGUCAACAUCUUAAGAACCCAAUAUAUUUUUAUUGCGCAGAACAAGCCAA